CUAGGGUGACGUUUUGUCCCUCUGUGUGCCCAGUUUCCAGCAGAAGUGCCUAAAUAAGAUGCACACACAUAAACAUUUGUAAAGUAGCUUGGGAAUUCGAAGGCAUAUUUUGCUUCCCUCUCGGCUCUUGCAUUCCGAAUUGAGUUGUCAGUCAUCUGGUUUCUAGGUGAAAAGUUACUGCUAUUUUGUAUGUCUGUGAACUUCAUGAAAAGUCUGGCCACGUGGCAAGCACCAGGACAGGAAAUAUGGGGUGCACCCAUCUCACAACGAUGCACAGUUUGGCUCUGUCUGCGGUGAAAUGUGGGGCCCAGGAGGAAACAGGAAUGGAUCUUCUCAGCUAUACUCGAUGACUCUGCCGAGAUUCCACCUGGAAGCUGCACUCAGCUCAGAGCUCCUAAUUACCAGCCAGGUACAGACAAAUGGGCCGAGUGUUUGGGGAAAAGCAGCAAGAGUGAUGGAGAAAGACAACUUGAUUUAUGGAGAGAGAUUAAAGGAGCUGAAUAGGUGGAGCUCAGCAAAAGAUGAUGGGGUGGAGCUAGGGGACCAUCUCCUUGUAUCUGAAGGCUGCAAACAGUCAGCAGACUAAGAGUUAUUUCGGUUAGAGCCGAGAAACAUAACAAAGAGUGAUGAAAAGAAAUUUAUGAUAAUAAUAGACUGUAAUUUUAUACCUAUUCCCAAACCAAGGAACCUCAAAACAUUUUAUGGCUAAGUAUAAUACACACACUACAACAGGGCGUGUUGAGGCUGUAAAGUGGCAGGUAAUUUAGCAAAAGCCUUUGAAAGAAAUAAUAUUUAGUGAGAAGGUAAUGGGUCCUCCUCGUGUAAAGAGCAGGGACCUGGCUUUUGUUUUGUCUGCUGCCCACUCCCAGGCGUGGUUCAGAUGGAGAAUGGCAUUGCUUUAUGUUUUCUGAAGCACGCAGGGUUCAACCUUCUUUAAAAAGAGGAGGAGGAGAUCCUUACAGAUCAGAGCAAAACUUGGAAGGCUGCUACAGCAAAGCUCUUAACCCAGCGCCAGGUUCCCCACUGGCUGACUUGGGCAGUUUGGGCUGCUAUGGAAAUGUGCUUUAGCCUCAACAGCUUAUGAACAACACAAAGACACCACUCUCCAUGCCAGAGGCUGGGACCCGAAGAGCUAAGCGCUGGUAGAAUAGGUAGGUGUCUUGUAGGAGGCAGCAUUCACAGGGAACAAGGGCAAGCUGCCCCCUCUAGCCUCUGCUGUUCUGAAAGGCUCACUUUAUUUUUAUUUGUUUAUGCUCGCAUGCCUGAGGAGGCCAGAAGACAGUCUCCUGAGACUGGAGUUACAUGUGGUUGUGAGAUACCCAGCAUGGGAACCAGAAACCACCUUUUAGUCUUCCGCAGCGGCAGUGUGCAGGAGGAACUGUACCUGGUCACCCCGCCUGAAACAUCAUCCCACUGCUCUCCCACUACUGUGCUCCACACAGCUGGGGUGCUGGACCCUGAUAGAGACUCUGAGGGAGUGAAGAAAAGAGAGACACACAGGAAAGCUGGGAUCCAGUGAGGACUUGGCUACCUCCAGCAACCUGGAACUUCAGUGUUGUUUUUAUGUGGUUUUUGUUUUGCAAAGCACAGGGGCGGAGUUAGCUAGCCUCAGUAGGAGGUGUCUGUCUCUGAGCAUCUCAGGAUGUAAACAUCUGGAAGAAGAGGAAGCCACCAAUUUUCAUACAGACUGGUUACCCUCUCACUCUCAGACUCCCAAGGAAAGCUUUGCCAUCUCCUUGAGCCUGAUCCAAGUAAGGCUUUGCCACUCGGGUGGGGCUAAGGCAUUGGAACACUUGAUGUGGCAGUGCCCGUGUGAACAGUACACACUCACUCAGGACUUCUCAGGGCUCUCUCUGCUCCUGACACCCCAGCCCCUACUUUGUUUUUAAGCAUAUUUUUUUGUCGAUUCUUUAAGAAUUUUAUAUCAUGCACCCCAAUUCCACUCAUUUCCCAAUUCUUCCAUUUCUGCCUUCUACCCUUGUAACAUCCCCUCAAAGGAAAAAAAAAUCUCACUGAUCCCUCUAGGCAGGACCUGCUUCCCAAUCUAUCAAUCACAGCCUUCUCACGCCUGUCACAGCUGUUGUGUCUCCAGUUCCUCUGUGCAUGGACCAUUCUGCUCCUCCAUCUUUCCUGCCUCUCCAUCACAUAUUUGCCAUUGGGAUCUGUGGUGUGUAACACAGUAGACCCUUUUGCCCAAACAGCUUUACAUGCAAACACUCAUUGCAAUGAGUCAUUGGUCUGCUUCAAGGCCUCUGGCUGUUGCUACACCAUCAGUACCAGACCUUCAUCCAGACUCCUCUCAGAUAUCCUACUGUUGCCCCAAGUCAUAGAGAUCCUCAGCUAUGGUCACGAAGGACCAGCCCUUCACUUGAUCCAGCAAGCUCAUAAAUGGGGUGGAUAUUGGGGUGGACCAACUCAAAAUCCUGGGAUGUGGGCUUGGGUGGUAGAUGAGUUGGUCAGCCCACAAGUUCUUCCAUGAAGAAACCACUGGGGCCAGCUCUCCCAUCCUGCUCAGGUGAGGGGCAGAGCCAGCUCUCCUGCAUGUGAUGGCCAGAGAGGGGCAGGACCAACUCUGUAUAUCCCUAGGACACCAACAUGACUUCAAGUGUCAGCCCAGACCACGGACAUCUGCAUAGCCUUUGGUGGCAGCAUGGGCCAUGGACAUCAACAUAGACUCAUAGACAGCUGUGUGUGGCAAGGCCAUGGACCCAGACAUGGCCCUCGUCAGCAGCACAGGCCUGGGUAUCACCAUGACCUCAGGUGGCAGCACAGGCCAGCAUCAGGCUGUUCCUUACCACCCUUGUGUCUCCAGUUUGGCCUUUCUUCACAGUACACAAACCACUCUACUUGCUUUCUCUCCCCUCUCUCUACCACAUACUUGCUCAUUGUUGUGGCACUUGCCUGUUUUGUUAUUUUUUUUAAAGAGUUGUUUCCAGUAUCUAAAAUCAUUAUAUUAUUGAAUUAUUACGUUCCUUUCUGUCUGUUCUGGUUUGAAUGCAAACUCCUAAAGGAUAGAAAAUUUAUAUGUUCUGUUCAGUAUCCUCAUCACUUCCUGGACACUGAUAGUAUAUGCAAAUAUUAGCAAAGUAAAUUUACUUUUUUUCAAAUAGGG
rnacentral:lncRNA from 1 species